rnacentral:rRNA from 1 species
CAAUAGCGUAUAUUUAAGUUGUUGCAGUUAAAAAGCUCGUAGUUGGAUUUCGGGUGGGACGCAGCGGUCUCGCAUUGCGUUUGUACUGCUGCAGCCCUCCUUCUUGCCGGGGGCGGCCUCUCGGACUUCACUGUCUGGGGGUCAGAAUCGGCGUUGUUACUUUGAGUAAAUUAGAGUGUUCAAAGCAAGCUUACGCUCUGAAUAUAAUAGCAUGGGAUAACACGACAGGACUCUGGCCUAUCGUGUUGGUCUAUAGGACCAGAGUAAUGAUUAAGAGGGACAGUCGGGGGCAUUCGUAUUCCGUUGUCAGAGGUGAAAUUCUUGGAUUUACGGAAGACGAACAUCUGCGAAAGCAUUUGCCAAGGAUGUUUUCAUUG